rnacentral:snRNA from 1 species
UUCACUUCUCAGCCUUUUGGCUAAGACCAAGUGUAGCAACUAUUCUAUGUGAUUCUAUAACUAGCAUAGUUAGUGUUAACAGUGCUACAGACACUUUUAGAAAUACCAAAU